UACGUAGGGUGCAAGCGUUACUCGGAAUUACUGGGUGUAAAGCGCGCGUAGGCGGGAGGCCAAGUCCGCUGUGAAAUCGCCCGGCUCAACUGGGCGCGGUCGGUGGAAACUGGUCACCUGGAGGACGGUAGAGGCGAGUGGAAUUCCCGGUGUAGUGGUGAAAUGCGUAGAGAUCGGGAGGAACACCAGUGGCGAAGGCGGCUCGCUGGGCCGGCCCUGACGCUGAGGCGCGAAGGCGUGGGGAGCGAAUGGG
rnacentral:rRNA from 1 species